GUGCUCGCUUCAGAAGCACAUACACUAAAACUGGAACAAUACAGAGAAGAUUAGCAUAGCUCCAGCUCAAGGAUGACACACAAAUUCGUGAAGCGUUCCAUUAAAAA
rnacentral:snRNA from 1 species